CUUUUAUUAUGUUGGUGUAUAUCUGGUUUGAUAUUAUUGCUUAAUAGCUUAAUUUGUGUAUAUAAAUUUAAGCCAAGUCUAUGUGCUGCAUGUAAAAGUUUUCAUGCGUUACAUUUAUAAUCAUUAAAAUUUAGUAGUAGAAAGUUGAUUGAGGACUUAAAAGUAAUAUAGAAUAAAGUUGUCUAUGUGAAAAGGGUUUAGCUUGGGUACACACCGCCCGUCA
rnacentral:rRNA from 1 species